rnacentral:rRNA from 1 species
UAGUCCACGCCGUAAACGAUGAUCACUCGAUAUUGGCUUCGGUCAGUGUCCAAGCGAAAGUGAUAAGUGAUCCACCUGGGGAGUACGCCGGCAACGGUGAAACUCAAAGGAAUUGACGGGGGCCCGCACAAGCGGUGGAGCAUGUGGUUUAAUUCGAUGAUACGCGAGGAACCUUACCUAGGCUCGAACGCUAUUCGACAUCACCUGAAAGGGUGUUUCUCUUCGGAGUGGAUAGUGAGGUGCUGCAUGGUUGUCGUCAGCUCGUGCCGUGAGGUGUUGGGUUAAGUCCCGCAACGAGCGCAACCCUUAUUCUUAGUUGCCAGCAUGUAAUGAUGGGGACUCUAGGAAGACUGCCGGCGUAAGCCGUGAGGAAGGUGGGGACGACGUCAAAUCAUCAUGGGCCUUUAUGCCUAGGGGCUACACACGUGCUACAAUGGUGCAUACAGCGGGGUAGCGAAAUCGCGAGGGUGGGAGCUAAUCUUGUAAAGUGCAUCCCAGUUC